GGCCUGAUGGCGGAGAAGUCACGCAGCGGUCUGCAAAACCGCGUACGCCGGUGCGAUUCCGGCUCAGGCCUCCA
rnacentral:tRNA from 1 species